CCAGACCCUGCCUGUGACAAGACCUGCUCCUCGCUGGCAGACCUGGCUAAAGGGUAAACAUCACUGCGGAGAGCUGGAGGUUUCUGGAGGCAAUGGGGGAGUACAUCUAGCAGCCUAUACAGAGGGAUCCAGCGACUACAUUACAGGAGACAGAAUCUGCAUAAGAUCCAGCAGAUCACAAAGGUAAGGAGAAUCAGAGGGCCAGGGAUCCCAGGAAAAAAAUCAGGUGACACACAAAUGAGACUGAGACCGGAAGUUUGGGUGUGUUUUGGGUUUUUUUGUUUUUUUUUUUUCAUUGAAAA